GACGAACCGAGCGAGCGUUGUUCGGAAUCACUGGGCUUAAAGGGCGCGUAGGCGGGCUGUCAAGUCUGGGGUGAAGUCCCACGGCUCAACCGUGGAACUGCCUCAGAUACUGACGGCCUCGAGGGAGGUAGGGGCGAGCGGAACGGGUGGUGGAGCGGUGAAAUGCGUUGAUAUCACUCGGAACUCCGGUGGCGAAAGCGGCUCGCUGGACCUUUUCUGACGCUGAGGCGCGAAAGCUAGGGGAGAAAACGGG
rnacentral:rRNA from 1 species